rnacentral:rRNA from 1 species
GCGUUAUCCGGAUUUAUUGGGUUUAGAGGGUGCGUAGGCGGUUCUUUAAGUCAGAGGUGAAAGACGGCAGCUUAACUGUCGCAGUGCCUUUGAUACUGAAGAGCUUGAAUUGGGUUGAGGAAAGCGGAAUGAGACAAGUAGCGGUGAAAUGCAUAGAUAUGUCUCAGAACCCCGAUUGCGAAGGCAGCAUUCCGAGCCUAUAUUGACGCUGAUGCACGAAAGCGUG